UGGGAAGACAUUAUGUUUCGAAUGGCAGCUUAGAAAUGUCAAAAAUAAAUCUUAAAACAUGUUUCUCUCAAAAUGUGCUAUAGUGUGUGUGUGUGUGUGUGUGUGUGUGUGUGUGUGUUUCGAGCUGUGAACUCUAUCCCAA